rnacentral:rRNA from 1 species
GAGAAAGUGGAGCAAUCCAUGAGUAAAGUGGCGACCGGGUGAGUAACACGUUGACUAACCUACCUUCGAGUGGGGGAUAACCUCGGGAAACCGGGGCUAAUACCGCAUAAUGCCUUCGGGUUAAAGGAGCAAUUCGCUUGAAGAGGGGGUCGCGGCUGAUUAGCUAGUUGGCGGGGUAACGGCCCACCAAGGCGAUGAUCGGUAGCCGGCCUGAGAGGGCGCACGGCCACACUGGAACUGAAACACGGUCCAGACUCCUACGGGAGGCAGCAGUGGGGAAUUUUGCGCAAUGGGGGAAACCCUGACGCAGCAACGCCGCGUGGAGGAUGAAGUCCCUUGGGACGUAAACUCCUUUCGACCGGGACGAUAAUGACGGUACCGGUGGAAGAAGCCCCGGCUAACUUCGUGCCAGCAGCCGCGGUAAUACGAGGGGGGGCGAGCGUUGUUCGGAAUUAUUGGGCGUAAAGGGCGCGUAGGCGGUGCGGUAAGUCACCUGUGAAACCUCUAGGCUUAACCUAAAGCCUGCAGGCGAAACUGCCGUGCUGGAGUGUGGGAAAGGUGCGUGGAGUUCCCGGUGUAGCGGUGAAAUGCGUAAAUUUCGGGAGGAACACCUGUGGCGAAAGCGGCGCA